GUGGGGUAAAAUUGUGAAUGUGCAAGUGUUUUGUGUGUAUGUGAGGUAAAAUUGUGAAUGUGCAAGUGUUUUGUGUAUAUGUGAGGUAAAAUUGUGAAUGUGCAAGUGUUUUGUGUAUAUGUGAGGUAAAAUUGUGAAUGUGCAAGUGUUUUGUGUAUAUGUGAGGUAAAAUUGUGAAUGUGCAAGUGUUUUGUGUGUAUGUGAGGUAAAAUUGUGAAUGUGCAAGUGUUUUGUGUGUAUGUGAGGUAAAAUUGUGAAUGUGCAAGUGUUUUGUGUAUAUGUGAGGUAAAAUUGUGAAUGUGCAAGUGUUUUGUGUAUAUGUGAGGUAAAAUUGUGAAUGUGCGAUCAUUUUGUUUGUGAGGUAAAUUGUGAAUGUGCAAGUGUUUUGUGUGUAUGUGAGGUAAAAUUGUGAAUGUGCGAUCAUUUUGUUUGUGAGGUAAAUUGUGAAUGUGCGAUCAUUUUGUUUGUAUGUGAGGUAAAAUUGUGAAUGUGCAAGUGUUUUGUGUAUAUGUGAGGUAAAAUUGUGAAUGUGCGAUCAUUUUGUUUGUGAGGUAAAUUGUGAAUGUGCAAGUGUUUUGUGUGUAUGUGAGGUAAAAUUGUGAAUGUGCGAUCAUUUUGUUUGUGAGGUAAAUUGUGAAUGUGCAAGUGUUUUGUGUGUAUGUGAGGUAAAAUUGUGAAUGUGCGAUCAUUUUGUUUGUGAGGUAAAUUGUGAAUGUGCAAGUGUUUUGUGUGUAUGUGAGGUAAAAUUGUGAAUGUGCAAGUGUUUUGCGUAUAUGUGAGGUAAAAUUGUGAAUGUGCAAGU